UCUUCUUCUUUCCAGUGGUUCAUAGAGCUGAAAGAUAUCAAAGAGUACAAAACCAAGAAGGAUAUUUUUAUGCUUGCGGAGUAUGACCCGAAACUCAAGGAAACAGUUCGUCAUAAGUUUCAGUCUAAUAUGGCACAUGACAUUGGAUAUGCCAUGUUGUGUGUGUUUUCCUACAUCGCCGCAGCUAGAAGUGCAGACAGUCAUACACGAAAGGAAUUGGAAGAAAGGAAUUGGAAGCAAGGAUGGCAGGACGUCGACGCCAAUUUCUUCACUCUCCCUGAGCAGUGUUGUGGUUUCGUAUCACAUUCUGUUUGUUUCUUUGUUGAUUGUUACUAGGGUUAUUCAAUCAUGACAAUGUAAUGUAAAUUAAAAGGGUGUUUGUAGAAAAAGUAUACUUGUAUGUCAGUUAAAAUGUCUUCCCGAACCUCCAAAAGCUCUCUUUUUUCGGGGUUGAAUAAUGAACUUUAUGCGUGUUCAUAAAGUUAUUGUAACAUUUGGUGAUAAGUGCAAUUACAUGUAAAGGCACGGUGAGUUUUCGACCCUACCAAGUCUACUUGCACUCAUAGAGCUAUAUUAAAUACUAGAGCGCUGACACAUGUACAAAGUGAUGCCUGCUCUGGGCGCCUCAGUGUUUGUGCACAAACCUAUAGAAAACUCGAAUUUUGUACAGCUGUUUACAUAACUGCGUUUGCAAUAUAUACAGGUUACCGAAGCCGAUAUACCCAAAUCCGAAACUCACGAUCAGCAAACGAGCGUUUCAUUUUGCUCUGAGCAAACGGUGCAACGCGUGUGCGUAUCCGCUGGAGAUGCUUUUUGCCGUGACUUUUUUUAACCGUCAUGACGCAAUAACUCAGUUACUUGCACUCUACUUGCCCGUAGAACAACUACCAAUGCAUAUUUAUCUGGAGAUUCGCGUGGAGUUCUCACACACAGUCUAACCCACUAUGCAUGCUCUGCGGUGUACUCACAUGUAAUUCCUCAAACGUUACGUUAAGCUACAUACUUACCCUCCGAUGCCUCUAAUCAGUGAGGCCCAGCUUCUUCCCAAAGGACUUUAUCCAGAUUGCGAACAUGACGGGGAAAUUCUCCGACGAAAAAGCAGGAUCCACCCCUAAGUCGAGUCGGACGUUGGCAUCAACGAGCUUGGGCGGCGAGUUAGGGUGUUCAAGCCCCUCUUGGCCUCAAGGGCCAACGGGACGUUAUCAUCACAGACUCCGAUGCCUCUGAACAAAGCUGAAGUGUACCUUAAGCCCAACAAUUUGCUGUCUGUUACGAAUACAGACGACGUUGGAAGGGGAAUUUUCUUACUUUAAUCCCCGCGGGUUGACGGCGUGUUAAUUUUUGUCGGUUUAUCGAUGAUUUGCAAUAUUCUUCGUCAGAAUUAUUUCGGUAUUUCGGAAUGCCCCGGCCCUCAUCCGAGUCCCUUUGGAACCUGUCGCCAAAGCAAGCAAGGAACGCUACUCUAAAUGAAAAAGAAUACGCCGAAACGAACGAGCUAAGUUUAUUUCCGCUGCCGACUUCAUUGUAAGCUUGUAGGGUACAACAUUACGAACCCCACCACCGAGUCAUGUCUCCACUAACUCGGGCACUCUUUCCAAUAUUGCACCAAGCAAGGGGCGACUUGCCCAGUUCCCUCGGACGCCCCAUACAGACUUGACCGUGGAAGGGCUGAUAAAUGAUAAGCCACUCCUCGGAACACUUUCACUCAAUUUUGCAGAACCACCAAAAUCAAUCUUGGUUUUUGCCUCUAUUUUUUUUUCAGACAAGAAAGUUUACUCCAGGUUUUAGAUGACGAAAAUUACGUUUUCCCAUUACGGCCGUGGGGCCGUCUUCAAAACUUAAUGUGGACCUGGGGAUUGUCGCCGAUCGCAGGUGUUCCAAACACAAUAAUGUUGGAAGCAAGGAUUCAAUCCUACCUAGCGCAUUGAUGUACUUACAGAUCAGGUCUGAGAAGAAUCAACAUGUUUUUCAAUCGACUUUCUGUCUCACAUCAAAGAAGGUGGAACAUGGCGGAACAAUCUUAAAUUUGAAUAUUUUAAUCAGAUCUCUCAGUAGUCGGUCGGAUAAGCACUAAGUGCUACUAUGACUUGGAAGGGUGUGAAUUGAUAUGUUAUUUGCAUCACUUUAGUCACCGAUGACUGAGCAUCAUUGAUUUGAUAAAGCAGCAUUUCAGAAAGAAAAUUUCACAGGAAAUGUGUCAUUGGUACUAUCUUUAAAGCGAGAGCUAUAUGACUUUAAAACACUUAUUUUGUCAUCUUCUUUUGGAUAGAUAUCUGAUUAUUUAGUUCUUUUUUUGCACGGAAGACAGGUGUAUUGAUAGGUUUUUUUUAAAGUUAUAUUGUCGAUGUAGGUUUUUUUUCCUGAACGGUAGAAGCAACAUUCCAUUGAAAUGUACAUGUACACAAAGAAUUAACCGUAGUUGUAAAAUGUCAAAAGUAACUUGGAAUUUAAUGUUACAAUGUAUAACAUAGUUAUUAAAUGUAUAUUGUACUCUUAAUAAUAAUGGCCUUGUUUUUGGACAUGUAUCAAAAUGUAUUACAGGGAUCGUAUGUCGGUCACGUGUAAGACAGGGUGCAUUAUUUUAAAAUAAGAUAAUACAAGCAAACCUUUUCAAUAAUUUAAUUUUUAACAAGUUUCACUGAUUUAAUAGCAUCAGUGCUGACAAAUGCACAUCCUUCUGGAAUGUCUGUUGGGGCCUCCGUUUUAAAACGUAGUGCACAGUUGCGAUGCGUUUUUUGGACAGUGCAAUGUUGUUCCCUCCGAACUUCGAAAAAUAACAAAAUUAAAAAUUUGAGUCAAAAAAAGCGGAACUAAAACCCCCAAAAUUUAAAUUUCAUAUUUAAAAAAUAUGUAGCACUGGAGAGCCAAUUUCAUAAGCUACUUUUAGAUGAAUAAAAUACUGAAAUUGCUCAAUCCGUUCAAAAAAUGCGAUUUCAAGAACCGUCGCCACAAUUGCCUUAAGGUAAAACCGAUAAAACCUUAGUUUAAAAGUUUGGAGUAAAUCCGUUUGGAGGCCCGUCUUUAAAAAGAUAGUGUGUUCUACAGUUGUUGAAACAAGUAUUCUGUCUUUUCUUUGUUCCAAACAGUCAAAACACGCAAUAAAUUGGUGUUUUGGUUUUUUA
rnacentral:lncRNA from 1 species